GCACCCGCACAAGCGGUGGAGCAUGCUGUUUAAUUCGAAGAUACGCGAAGAACCUUACCUAGACUUGACAUCCCCGGCAAAGCUAUAGAAAUAUAGUGGAGGCUACCCGGGUGACAGGUGGUGCAUGGUUGUCGUCAGCUCGUGUCGUGAGAUGUUCGGUUAAGUCCGAUAACGAGCGCAACCCUUAUCGUUAGUUACUAACAUUUAGUUGAGUUCUCUAACGAGACUGCCGGUGACAAACCGGAGGAAGGUGGGGAUGAUGUCAAAUCAUCAUGCCCCUUACGUCUAGGGCUACAGGCGUGCUACAAUGGCCGAUACAAAGAGACGCAAUACCGCGAGGUGGAGCUAAUCUCCAAAAACGGUCUCAGUUCGGAUUGAAGUCUGCAACUCGACUUCAUGAAGUUGGAAUCGCUAGUAAUCCUGAAUCAGAAUGUCAGGGUGAAUACGUUCCCGGGUGUU
rnacentral:rRNA from 1 species